GGAAUUUAACGACNUGCNGANGUUUAGUAUCUAACAUUGGUGCCGUUGGUUUUAUAGGAUCUCACACCUUGGACCGCUCGUUGUGACAGCCUAACACAUGCAAGUCGAACGGCAGCACAGGAGAGCUUGCUCUCUGGGUGGCGAGUGGCGGACGGGUGAGGAAUACAUCGGAAUCUACUCUGUCGUGGGGGAUAACGUAGGAAACUUACGCUAAUACCGCAUACGACCUACGGGUGAAAGCAGGGUGACCUUCGGGCCUUGCGCGAUUGAAUGAGCCGAUGUCGGAUUAGCUAGUUGGCGGGGUAAAGGCCCACCAAGGCGACGAUCCGUAGCUGGUCUGAGAGGAUGAUCAGCCACACUGGAACUGAGACACGGUCCAGACUCCUACGGGAGGCAGCAGUGGGGAAUAUUGGACAAUGGGCGCAAGCCUGAUCAAUCGGUGGGUAGUU
rnacentral:rRNA from 1 species